rnacentral:rRNA from 1 species
ACGCACGCUGGCGGCGUGCUUAACACAUGCCAGUCGAACGGAAGGCCCUGCUUUUGUGGGGUGCUCGAGUGGCGAACGGGUGAGUAACACGUGAGUAACCUGCCCUUGACUUUGGGAUAACUUCAGGAAACUGGGGCUAAUACCGGAUAGGAGCUCCUGCUGCAUGGUGGGGGUUGGAAAGUUUCGGCGGUUGGGGAUGGACUCGCGGCUUAUCAGCUUGUUGGUGGGGUAGUGGCUUACCAAGGCUUUGACGGGUAGCCGGCCUGAGAGGGUGACCGGCCACAUUGGGACUGAGAUACGGCCCAGACUGCUACGGGAGGCAGCAGUGGGGAAUAUUGCACAAUGGGCGGAAGCCUGAUGCAGAAACGCCGCGUGCGGGAUGACGGCCUUCGGGUUGUAAACCGCUUUCGCCUGUGACGAAGCGUGAGUGACGGUAAUGGGUAAAGAAGCACCGGCUAACUACGUG